rnacentral:tmRNA from 1 species
GGGGCUGCACUGGUUUCGACGUGGGUUCGGACGCGCAGCAGGGCAUGUCGAGGUUCUGUCACCUCGUAAAGCAACAGAAAAAAACCAACUGCAAACGACGAACGUUUCGCACUCGCCGCUUAAUCAGCGGUGAGCCU